AUUGAACGCUGGCGGUAUGCUUAACACAUGCAAGUCGAACGGUAGCAGGCCUUCGGGCGCUGACGAGUGGCGGACGGGUGAGUAACGCGUAGGAAUCUGCCUGGUAGUGGGGGACAACGUGGGGAAACUCACGCUAAUACCGCAUACGCUCCUGAUUGCAAGAUGAGGAGGAAAGCGAGGGACCUUCGGGCCUCGCGCUAUCAGAUGAGCCUGCGUUAGAUUAGCUGGUUGGUGGGGUAAAGGCCUACCAAGGCGACGAUCUAUAGCUGGUCUGAGAGGACGAUCAGCCACACUGGGACUGAGACACGGCCCAGACUCCUACGGGUGGCAG
rnacentral:rRNA from 1 species